AUACGAAGGGGGCUAGCGUUGUUCGGAUUUACUGGGCGUAAAGCGCACGUAGGCGGAUUGAUUAGUUAGGGGUGAAAUCCCGAGGCUCAACCUCGGAACUGCCUCUAAAACUGUCAAUCUCGAGACCGGAAGAGGUGAGUGGAACUCCUAGUGUAGAGGUGGAAUUCGUAGAUAUUAGGAAGAACACCAGUGGCGAAGGCGGCUCACUGGUCCGGUACUGACGCUGAGGUGCGAAAGCGUGGGGAGCGAACAGUAUUAGAAACCCUAGUAGUCC
rnacentral:rRNA from 1 species